rnacentral:sRNA from 1 species
UUUUUGCCCGGUGGAAAAACAGGACUUUGGUCGUCCAUAUUAAUUCAGGAUCUGGAUGGAGAUGGAAGUCCAGAAUUGAUAGCCGGAAAUUGG